rnacentral:rRNA from 1 species
UACGUAGGGGGCUAGCGUUGUCCGGAAUCAUUGGGCGUAAAGCGCGUGUAGGCGGUCCGGUAAGUCCGCUGUGAAAGUCGGGGGGCUCAACCCUCGAAUGCCGGUGGAUACUGUCGGGCUAGAGUGCGGAAGAGGAGUGUGGAAUUCCUGGUGUAGCGGUGAAAUGCGCAGAUAUCAGGAGGAACACCAAUGGCGAAGGCAGCACUCUGGGACGUGAACUGGACGCUGAGACGCGAAAAGCGUGGGGAGCAAACAGG